UUGUUUCCACAGCAAAUAUACUGAAAUUGGAACCAUACGGAGAAGAUUAGCAUAGCCUCUGCCAAGGAUGACACAUAAAUUUGUGAAGUGUUUUUUAUUUUU